rnacentral:ncRNA from 2 species
UUGUUAUCACGAAAGCUGGAGGGAAUAGACCCAAUGAAAGCUUAGCAACCCUAUUAAAUAGAAGGUGCUACAUUCUAUUCGCAAUUUGCGAAAAAGAUAACUU